CGACCACUUAAGCCCUCGUUGCUUAGCGUUGGGAGCCUACCGCGGCUUUUGCGGUCGCUCCCCAAAGUCAGUGGCGGAGCCGGGUUCGUGCUCUAGGCGUAGUAGAUUUUCCAUCUCGCCUGCAGCCGGGCCGGUCCCCUGCCGUAAAACACCCCCUUUCUUAACAU
rnacentral:misc_RNA from 1 species